AAAGCCCUGAACAAACUUACCUUGCGAGGUGGAGAGGUGCGAGAGUGGACCGGGCCUGUCAAGGAUCAGCGACGGAUCAUGAUCGUUGUUUUCAUUGAGGUUGGACCAUUGUCAUGUACAUUUUCAACAAACAUUUUGGUUAGAACAAACAGCUCACGAACCUGUUAAACUUCGACUUCCAUAUCGUUGGACAGCCAGAGUUUUCAUGAUCGUUGUUUUCGUUGAGGUUGGACCAUUGUCAUGUACGUCUUCAACUGGAUUGAAGUUUUGAAGAUUGCAGAUGCCCGACGUUGUUUCUCAGCUCGCAGGUCUUGCGUUGAGCAGCAGCAACAUCGCUGACAAUCUCUACAAAAUGUUGGCAUAGAAUCUCUCCAAUCUCGUAGCAUUUUUCUUCUUGGACACAGCGUUUUUUAGUUCUUAUCGUGGUUGAGCAGCACCAACAUGUCACUUGUCUUUUUGAUGACAAGAACUUUGAACAAAUUGAAACACACACAAACCUGACAACAAGUUUCCCUUCGCGUUGAGAGUUCCUUGGAUCGUUGUUUUGCACUUAGCUUGUUUGAGUUGUUUGUUCAAGCAUAUUAUAUUAACUUGGACUGUGUGCGUUGAGCAUAGCAUCGAAAAGAAAGAGCGUCUUCAAACGUUGAGAGUUUCAACACGAAUUCUUAAUCGCCUCUAGCCUAGAGAAUACCUCUUAGCUCGUUGCAAGCAGCUUCGCUUUCUUGUCUCCAGCAAAUCUCUCUUGUUUCGUUGUCUUACUCUAAACGAACUUACCUUUACCUUGCGAGGCGAGAGUGGACUUGAUCCGUCGCUGAUCCUUGACAGGCCCUGAUCGUUGUUUUCAUUGAGGUUGGACCAUUGUCAGGUAGAACUUCAGCUGGAUUUAAGUUCUGAAGAUCGCAGUUUCCCAACGUUGUUUCUCAGCUCGCAGGUCUUGCGUUGAGCGCAGCAACAACACAACUCAAAGCUCCAAAACGUUGACACAAAAUCUCUCCAAUCCAGUAGCAUUUCUCUUCUUGGCACACGCUGUGACAUGGCGUUUUUCAGUUCUUAUCGUCGUUGAGCAGCACCCUUCAUGACAAGAAAUUAGAACAAAUCGAAACACACGCGAACCUGGCAACGUGAAACUAAGUAUCGUUGAUUGUUAGUUUUGUUCGUAUUCACACAGCGUUGUCCACAUCGGUGAGUUUCCCUUCGCGUUGAGAGUUCCUUGGCCCGUUGUCUUGCACUUUGCUUGUUUGAGUUGUUUGUUGUGUCACUGGCCCUUUUGCGUUGCAAUCGAAAAGAAAGAGCGCGUUGAGAGUUUCAACACGAUUUCUUGAUCGCCUCUAGCAUACCUCUUAGCUCGUUGCAAGAAGCUUCGCUUUCCAAAUCUCUGUCUUACUCGCUUAUUGCUAACGCAAAGAAAAGCCCUACCUAAACGAACUUACCUUGCGAGGGUGGAGAGAGGCAAAGCGGCCUACCAUGGGCAGAGGGGAAGGAUCGGCGACCACCAACCCCAACCCCAAGAUCCGCGGCAUCCACCAUCACUGCCCUAGCCCUUUAUCAUCGAUGAACUCUAAACUUG
rnacentral:lncRNA from 1 species